UAGGUAGAUAGAUAAUUAGUUAGACAGACAGAUAGAUGAAUGGCUAGACAUAAAUUUAUGUAAAUUAGUGUGACGUGAGUGAGGAGGGUUGGGACCUACGUGGCGUGGGUAACCACCGGCUUAGACUAAGGUAACAAUGCUUACAUAGAACGAUGCUCACCGAGAGUGGCUAGUUAGUUAUUAAGUGUCUUUACUGCAAACAAGGGAGGGAGGAGGAGGAGGUGAAGCGGAAAGCAAUGAGGGACAUCGGGACGAUUUCUUGUGUUGGCAUCGUGGAGGUGAGUCGUGUGUGCGCCGAGAAGUGUGUCUGUCCUCUGCCUCGUUGUAAGGUGUUGGUUUGGUGGUGUUCCUGUUGUAUGUCGGGAAGGAGUGUACAACAAGGGGCGGUGUAUACGACGAGGGACAAGGUCGGGUCAUGCCGGCCAUCCCUAAACAUGGAGCAAGCAAGUCUCGGGCGUCAGUCAGGAGGUGGAGCACGACCCGCCACAAAUCUGGCACAGGCGUCCCUACAACUGCGCAACUGCGCAUUACCAACUUCGUGGAGGCGCAUGUGUUUCACUCUCUUCAGAAG
rnacentral:misc_RNA from 1 species